GGUCUUGAGGGUGUUUCAUAGUGUGAACAGCUCCCUUUCCUGAGUGUGACGUCAGUCUUUCCAGAACAAGUCAGCUCCUUCAUCUCGUAUUCAGCUGCCUGGACAGUGAUCAUAGAAGCGCUGGAGGAAAACUUGCUGCGCUGGCCUAACUGAGGGAUGACCCUUUGCUGGCUGGUUUAGGAGGUGUUCAAAGGUUUCAGAUGCCCACUCCAGCACAUGGAGAGUGACUGCUUUGAGGAUUUUGCGACUAGGUAAUAAAUUGACACAUUCUGUUCAGUAGUUGCAGUGUGAUUUUGGGAAAUGCUUACUACCCUUUUUUCUUCGGUACCUCUGUCACCACUUGCUCUCUGAUGCUUAAAAUCUACUAGUAGUCAGCAGUGCCUUUCAUUCACCUAUUAGGAGGCCAUAAAUGCAGGAGGCUUUGACAGACAGGAGAACACAGUGGGUGGAGCUUACAGCAAAGCUCUAGAAGCUCAGGACCCUCUGCAUUUGGUAUCCCUCCAAGACCCCCUGGACCAGUUUGAAAACCACUAAUCUCAGAGAGCCUUCCAGGGCUGUUACUACUUCAGAUUAAGGCUGAAACUAUGAUCUGUUCAGUAUUCAAGAGCAGCACCAGCACAGAGAAGUAACAAGAUAUAAAUAAUAAAUAAAUAACACAAAACAGACAUUUGGACAAAAGCUACCAUAUAAUUUUCUUUACAAUGACUGCUACUGGGAAGAAUAGUUAAUAAAGAGGACAAAGAAUGAAUUCCUGAAAAACUGAAACUGAGCUUCAGAUGAAUGGAAUGUGACCUAUACAUACUUAUUCCAAACUACCUGGUAAUCUUCAGCUACCUAAGAAAAAUUACCAGGUGUUUUUCAAAGAAGUUAAGGCCGUGCAAGCCUGCACUUCAUUGCCAUUGUUUGCAAUCUUGAUUCACGGUCAUUUGUGGAGUACUGUAAAACUGUUGGUAAAUAAGGACUGCUUGCGCUGUUUAAACAAUAUUUCUCAGUAUUUGCCUGCUUCUGUAAUUACAUGGUAAUUAUUUUUCAUUGUUGACAGUAAAAUAUGUAGCAUAUUUCGCAGGUAGAAUUCACAGUGCUGAUCUGUUUUAAAAUAUUGUUUUGGGGGCAUAUUCUAUAUGCUGAUUAACAUUGUUCUCAUAUACCUCUGGUCACAGAGAGCCCUGUCAAUUUUAGGACAGUAAAGGAGGAAAGACAUCUUACAAAAACUUUAUGGCAUUAUGAUGGUCUCUACUUACAAGUACAUUUUUACUGAAAUGUAAGAUAGUCUUAAAGAAAAUGUCUGAGGAAUUUUAAAGUUUUUAAUAAUACCUUUAAAAUACAUGUAAUAUUUCUUCAUUUACUGAAAAGCUAUAUGUUAAUACUCUAAUAUUAAUAUUUUAUAUUUUAUAUUUUUAUAAAUAUUAUAUUGUAAAAUAUAUUUUAUAUUAAUAUAAAAUAUUUUAUAUUAUUUUAUUAUGCUUUUAUAUUAGAAAACAUAAUACUUUGACAUUGUCAGCUCCCAUUGUAUUUAUUUAAAUACCAAGCUAGUAUUUUUGAAAGAACAUGGAAACACACUAAGAAGGCAAACAUCAGAUAUGGUAGAUUGUUUUCGUCAUUGGUUUUGAUGUCUGCGUUUGUUGUUUUAUAGUCCCAUAUUAAGCUGACUCAUUAUAAAACUUAGAAAACUUUUUUAAAGAAUUGUGACACCCCCUUGUAUAGACACUCUAUUAGUUUCUUUGAGCCAUUUCGUAACACUAAACAAAGCUAUCUUUAUUAACCCCCUCUCAAAUAAAUCACUUCUUUCAGGAAGGUUAUUCAAGGGAUACCUAUGGAAUUUCUCUGCGUGUUUGUUUAUGCGGGUAUUUUUUGCAGUCAGGUUGCUUUGAAAGCUCGUUAUAUUUUAAACUGUGCUCCAUGAUAAACAAAAGCAAAUUCUCCUCCUUUGGAAAACCUAAGUAGUUCUUAUCUGAACUUCGAUUUGUUUUUAAUUGAAAAUAAUACACAAAUUUUUAGUUUACAGAAGCGAAAUUUUGGUAUAAAAAUCCCCAGAAUACCGCUUGUAAUUGCAUUAGAUGCCUAAUUCCUGAUUUUCAGUUUCAGGUCUUCUCAAAACAUUGAUUUUUUUUUUUCCUCUUGCAACU